AGUUCAAGGCUGCUCACCCAGCUGGUGUCUCCUCAUUCUGGAGCGGUGCCCUCUGAAUGCACAGGACAUUCUUCAGUGAAACUAAUGAGUGUGGCCGUCAAGAAAAUGUGACCUCUGGUGUAGUUUGACCCCAUUGCCAACUGCCUUGAUGGGUGCUGUGAUAUCAAUGGUUUCUCUUACCAUUGCUUUCGUCCCAUCUGUGCAAAUGUCAACACCAUGAAAGAAGCAAGUACAACCUUAGUAGGAAUAUAAGAAUAGCUUUGAUCUCACGGAUCUGCAGAGGUCUAUGGACCUUCCUUGGGACUCUUCUAUUCCAGCAGGAAUCCAAGAUCGGCUAACCGAGACUUGAGGAGCCUGCGGUGACUUGUCUCGGGUUGUACAGUGGCUCAGGGCAGGCCUGUGAGAGUUCAGCCCACCUACUGGCUGGCAGCGGACACAGUGGCUGGAGGGAUGUGUGUGCACACGUGUGCACAUGCCUGUGUGUGCAGCAGCAUGAACUUCAUGUGGAAGUUCCCUGGCCGGGGAAGGAACCUGCCCUGAAGUUUCGAGCCAUGCCAGGGACAGCCACGCCGGAUCCUUAACUUGCUGCACCACGCGGGAGCUUCCAAGAUCCAUCUUUUAAAUGACCCCUCUUCUUAGCACAUAGGGUUCACUACACAUCAGCUCCUCGACAGAGAUGCUUGCUAGACGCCCUGGACUCUGGUUUCCGUCAAGAGGGGACGGAGGUGGAGGUGCCAGCACGAAGCCUAGAGCUGCCAACAUGGCAGGCGGAGAGUAGGUCCCAGCAUCCUAAUUAUUUCCAAAUAUCAGAGAAGCAGGUCUAUAAUUACGAAGUGAGGUCAUCUUAAUUAGAAGGACAUAAAGUAAUGUCUAAUUAGGCAUCAUCCCAUUUUUUAGAGACGUGUCAUGGGUUCACACGGAAAACCUUUCAGCCUCUCGGUGGGGAAUUUUGAAACUCAGUUGGUACCCUUUCUCUCUCGGUCCCCUUGGCAAGAGGCAGGGCGGACCAGCUGCUGGCCUCUGGUGGGUGCCCAGGCCUGGGUGCUGGCCCUCCUUGGCACCACGUGCACACAGAAGAGGCAGGGGUGGCGGUGGUCCAGGGAGGAGUCGGGAGGCCUCUGGAAGGAGGGCCAGGCUCCUCCUUGGCUCUUUCAGAGCCUCCUUUUCCCGGAAGAGAAGGUCACGGAGGAUGAAAGAGCCAGAGUCGCGACCAAGACAGCUGGGCUCAACCCCGCACGGCCUUCAGGGACCAGGCCCCCUGGGAGUGCCCCUUUCUUCGUCGGUGAGAUGGAGCAGGUCUGUGAGUGGAAGUCAAAGAUGGAGACUGGAACAGAGCAAUGGUUCUUAAAGUCCUGGAAACAUCCUCAUUCCUUAAGCUGGGCCCAAAGCGUUUCGCUGUUCAAACCUAGUUGUAAAGGUCCCCCUGCUUUGUAGACACAGUGACAUCAAAAGCUGCUCAUGGCAGAGGCCCCCCAUUCUCCACUCGCCCUGGGAUCACUCAUCUUGGGUCCCACUGGCACGAUCUGAGCCCCACUUCUGUGCUAGCUGGAGACACAGCCUCUCCCAGGGCAUCCUGCUCAGCCCCGGUCCCCGCCAGCCAGGCUGCCAUGUUGAGUGUCCCCACAGUGGCCCCUGCCCAGCUGGUCACAGCAUCUGCUGGCCUGCUCUUUCAGUCCUGUCCCUCUCCAAGAGGGACAGAGCCCUCCCCGUGUCACUGAAGCAGCCACAUUCAGUGGGCUUCACGGAGACGGAUGAGAGGCAAGGGAAAGCCCAGCUCACUCGCGGCUCCUGGUUGGUCAGUCUCCUUCGGCCUGUCAUCCUCACGUGUCUCCUCGCCUCCCUGCAGACCAAGAGACGGGGGUUGGAGUCCUGAGCUCCUCAGCCUGAAGCCUCUGCGUUUGGGGUAUUUCAUCCGCGAGGGCUUCCCCCUGCACCAUGGGGAAAAUUUCUCCUCGCAGCUGCAUGAACAAGGCAAAUCUUUCCAGAGGACAGAAGCAAAGCCUGGUCGUUACCAAAAACAAACAGACUCACCCAUGGCCACACUCACCUCAUUGGUGUUAGGGUUUAGACAGAACAGGCUGUUCCUGGGUUUUUAAGUUUCUCUUCCAUAAAGUGUAAAUUGUGGCAAAAGACACAUAACCUAAAGCUUGCCGUCCUGGCCAUUUUUAAGCGUGGGGUUUGGCGAUAUGAAGUUUCUCUUCUGCCACUUUUAAUACUUUCUAACGUGUUACCACCUGACAGUACUACCUUCUCCUAUGAGGCGGCACUAAACAGUAAAGGGUGCUUU
ensembl:lncRNA